rnacentral:rRNA from 1 species
AUUGAACGCUGGCGGCAUGCCUUACACAUGCAAGUCGAACGGCAGCACGGGUGCUUGCACCUGGUGGCGAGUGGCGAACGGGUGAGUAAUACAUCGGAACAUGUCCUGUAGUGGGGGAUAGCCCGGCGAAAGCCGGAUUAAUACCGCAUACGAUCUACGGAUGCAAGCGGGGGACCUUCGGGCCUCGCGCUAUAGGGUUGGCCGAUGGCUGAUUAGCUAGUUGGUGGGGUAAAGGCCUACCAAGGCGACGAUCAGCAGCUGGUCUGAGAGGACGACCAGCCACACUGGGACUGAGACACGGCCCAGACUCCUACGGGAGGCAGCAGUGGGGAAUUUUGGACAAUGGGCGAAAGCCUGAUCCAGCAAUGCCGCGUGUGUGAAGAAGGCCUUCGGGUUGUAAAGCACUUUUGUCCGGAAAGAAAUCCUUGGCCCUAAUACGGUCGGGGGAUGACGGUACCGGAAGAAUAAGCACCGGCUAACUACGUG